rnacentral:rRNA from 1 species
ACAAUGGAGAGUUUGAUCCUGGCUCAGGAUGAACGCUGGCGGCGUGCCUAAUACAUGCAAGUCGAACGCUUCACAUAUGUGAAGAGUGGCG